CUCCUACGGGAGGCAGCAGUGGGGAAUUUUGGACAAUGGGSGAAAGCCUGAUCCAGCAAUGCCGCGUGCAGGAUGAAGGCCUUCGGGUUGUAAACUGCUUUUGUACGGAACGAAAAAGCUUCUCCUAAUACGAGAGGCCCAUGACGGUACCGUAAGAAUAAGCACCGGCUAACUCGUGCCAGCAGCCGCGGUAAUAC
rnacentral:rRNA from 1 species